UCUGUACUUACCUCAUAGUACAUAUAUAAUGUUUGUCACCAAACAUUUGUCUCUACUUGGCUUGUUCUCUUCUCACAUUUAAACACACACACCCGAGAAGAGUUCAUGAACAAUUUACAGAGAAGCUGAUCACCCAUCUCCAGCAGCAGCAAAAGCAUUUAUAGAAAAUGCUCUAGUACAUCUCUGCAAAAUGAAUACCUGAAUAUGGAUUUAUAAAAGAUGAACUGCAAUUCAAUGACAAAGGACCUGGCAGGCUCUGCAUGAACAAGCCACACAGAACCUCAAGGCCCAGCCAUCAGAUAUCAGAUGUGAUGAAAGAAGGUGAUGUCUCCAGGGAAAUCUUGCUUGAGAGAAAAAUGGCAAA